rnacentral:lncRNA from 1 species
AUGGACUGGGACAUCUUGCUUCCCUGUCCUCCCUGGCUAUCUAGCAGCCACUCUCCUCCACUCCAGCAUGGAUGCAGCUGGACUAUCAGCAUGACUCCUCUCCCCGUCUCUCUCCACUUCCGACACUGCUGCUGCCUUUUGGACCAGGGAGGGAGGGAUCUAGGCCCAUUGUUAACACCCUCAACUCCCACAGCUGGCCUUCUAGAAGGUUCCCUGUUUCAGCCCUGCCACUCAUUGGGUCGUUGACAUGGCAGCUGAGGCUGUCCUGGAGCCCUGCACCAAUCACGGGCCUGCACUUGGACCAAUCACAGGCCUGUAGCUGCUAUAUAAGCAGCACUCCCCAUCCACUUCUCAGAUUGGUCUAAGAGGGCUCGCUCCAGCGUGCGGUGUGUGCUGCAGCUCAGGCCCUGCUAAAGUAAAGCUUAGGUUUGGUGGUCCUGGAAACCAGCUUGUAAUUUAUUUCUUGGGUCGUGUGGGCUCCAAAAGUCCUGUAAAUGUGCUUGAGAUUCUUAUUCUGAGUGGUGUGGAUAGAGCAAUCAGUUCAAAAGAAAACACUCUGUUCAGAAGAGCUCCAGGAGCAGCAGCCAGUGAGGUCAGUACAGAGACCAGCACCCGACUCAGGUGGUGGCUGGCAGUGGCAGAGACCCGAAGCUGGCUGCGUCAGCUGCUCGAAUGUACUUUGUUUGUUUGGUUUUUUUUGGUACUGGGGAUCGAACUCAGGUCCUUGCGCUUUCGCAGCAGCCUGUGAAACCACUGAGCUAAAUCCCCGGCCCUCGAAUGCACUUUGCUCAUUCAUGAUUUCUGUCUGAAUCCAGCAAAAGAACUCUAGGCUGAUUUGCAACAUUUCUGGGGACCCAGAUGGGCCACCUCCUUUUGGAGGGUUCCCAAGAAGAGUGCAGACCUUCCUCGUGGGUGACAAGCAAGCACCUGAACCUUUCUUCAGUGUUGGGCACAACUGCAGAUGGUGUCACCCUCGUAUGGGGGACCCCAGAGGAUGUCGCAUACCACAGAAAACCCACUGCACUGCCAGCCCUUGGAGAAGAAAUUGAAAAUGCAUGCGCAACAAUCUCAACAACCAAGGUCACCCGAGCAGCAGCUCUCCGUGCUAGUGAACAUCUGGGAGGCGAACGGCACCACUGUGAGCACCCCUGUAAUUGCAGAGGCCAAA